AGCAAGAUGGGUUGUAGCCAAAGCUUGGAAAGAGAUACCAGGACCCCACCGAAAGUUGGAAAGCAUAGUCUUAGUGAUAUAGCAAAAGGAAAAUGUGAUACACCUCUACUAAGUCUUUGCUUCAAAGUUUGAUGACUCUUGCAGGUCCAACAUACACAAGGACAAUAUGUAGUAGUCUUGUACCAUAAUUAGGUUUCAAUAUAAUUAGCAACUUCAACCAAAAUGUAUGUAUUUAGG
rnacentral:lncRNA from 1 species